rnacentral:rRNA from 1 species
UACAGAGGGUGCAAGCGUUAAUCGGAAUUACUGGGCGUAAAGGGUGCGUAGGUGGUUUCGUAAGUUAGGUGUGAAAGUCCCGGGCUUAACCUGGGGAUUGCGCCUAAUACUGUGAGACUAGAGUACUGUAGAGGAAAGUGGAAUUUCCGGUGUAGCGGUGAAAUGCGUAGAUAUCGGAAGGAACACCAGUGGCGAAGGCGACUUUCUGGACAGAUACUGACACUGAGGCACGAAAGCGUGGGGAGCAAACAGG